GCUGCCCUUCCCCCGCCCCCUCGGUCUUGGCAGGUUUCCUACCCUGGCCGCGGACCUGCUCUGCACCCACGUGCAGGCCCCGGAUCGGUAUGCGGCCUGCAGCACCACAACAUCCCUUUUGACCUGGACUGACCUUUGACCAGCCAGUCGUCGAGGUACGGAUAGAUCUGGAUACCCCGACGCCUGGGGGCCUGCCGUCGAAGGGAAGGUCCAGCAUUCACGGCUGAACUUCUGUCGACAGACCCGAGAGGAGCAGCCAGGAUGCCCUCAGCCUCGAGAUGGCCGAGGCCAUGGUGUGAGCCACAGAGUCAGCCGCAUCUGAAGCUGCAUGGAGGGCCACCCUGGUGCCCUCCUUGAGGAUCACCCAGAAUUCCUUCUUGGACCCUUCGGGAAGCAAAACCUCGAACUUGGCCAUUGCCUGCCACAUGUUGUAAUCACAGCGGCCAAGGAGGGCUUGGUGGCUGGCCAUUCUCAACUAAAGGCUGGAAGAUGAAUAAAUCUUUCACCAAAACAGAUCCAGUCUCUUCGAGUCUUUAUUUUUAGGCAUAGGACCAGGUUGCCGCUGCCUCUCUCUUUGAUUAACAGCCUCAACUACAAGAGACUUUGGGCCUGGGAGGGUGCAGAGAUACUCCUGGCCUUUAGCUGGCACAACGUAUUUACAUUCAGUCCUUUUCGAAACGGGGGGCAGGGAAGAGGGGGUUUGCCACAGAGCAUUAAUAAUAUGUGAUUCAUGCAGGGGCAGGUGCCGUGGAGCAGAAGAUGUAGUAGUUCCUCUUCAGUAGUUCCUUAUGUGCCUUGGCAUCAUCUUGUGGAACUGGGUGAAGGGUACCUAUGAUGGCUUCGUCCAGCAACAAUGAAGAUGACGACAACAUUGCUUGAUGGUCCAGCCGGCUGUUUCCCUGUCUGCUCAUGGGCCUGGGAAGUUCUGUCUUCUGGGGCCUCCACCUCUGGUCCUGUUGGUAUCCAGGAAGUGGGCAGGCAAAGCCCACCCACUGCUAAAGGACCUCCCCCC